CCUACGGGCGGCAGCAGUGAGGAAUAUUGGUCAAUGGACGAGAGUCUGAACCAGCCAAGUAGCGUGAAGGAUGACUGCCCUAUGGGUUGUAAACUUCUUUUAUAAAGGAAUAAAACGAGGCACGUGUGCCUUUUUGCAUGUACUUUAUGAAUAAGGAUCGGCUAACUCCGUGCCAGCAGCCGCGGUAAUACGGAGGAUCCGAGCGUUAUCCGGAUUUAUUUGGUUUAAAGGGAGCGUAGAUGGGUUGUUAAGUCAGUUGUGAAAGUUUGCGGCUCAACCGUAAAAUUGCAAGUGAUACUGGCAGUCUUGAGUACAGUUGAGGUAAGCGGAAUUCGUGGUGUAGCGGUGAAAUGCUUAGAUAUCAUGAAGAACCCCGAUUGCGAAGGCAGCUUACUAAACUGUGACUGACAUUGAUGCUCGAAAGUGUAGGUAUCAAACAGGAUUAGAUACCCCAGUAGUC
rnacentral:rRNA from 1 species